CAUCCCAGUCCGUGCACGCGAAACAACCCCGAAGUUGUUCAAUGGCUUCGGGGGACCAGCACCGGAGAAAGGUUGUUGGUGUUUUGGAGGAUUUAACUUUUUGCCUGUAUUUUGGAAUUAGCAGCAGCAUUGCGUGGUCGGACCUGCCCAGCGGAGCCCUAGGGAAAGCACGGUAAGCCUCUCUGAUGGAGGUGUAGCAGUGGUCAAGUGUGUUGGUCCCUCUGCUGGGGCAAUUUACCUGCUGAUGGUAGCCGAGGAGCUCAGAUGAUAGGUUGGUCUGGUUAAAGUCCCCGAGGACGAUGACUGCUGUGUCCGGGUGUGAAUUUUCCACUGAGGAGACGUAGUUGGCUAACUCGGCUAUGGUGGUGUUAGCGUUAGCCUCAGGUGGAAUGUAAACACAGAUCAUAAUAAUUAAUGCGAACUCCCGUGGGAGGAAUGAUGGUCUGCAUUUGACAGUGAGGUAUUCCAGGUGAGGGGAACAUACACGUGUGAGUUCAGUAGAAUUUGUGCACCAGCGUUCAUUUAUCAUGAUGCAAACACCACCGCCUUUUGCCUUGCCCGAUAGUUUGGAAGAUCUAUCGGAACGAUGCAAUGUGAAACCUGGAAGAGUUACCGCUUGGUCUGGUACUGAUUGAUCCAGCCAGGUCUCUGUCAGGCAGAUGGCAGAGCAGUCACUGUAGUCUUUGUCGGUUUGGAUCAUAAGUUGUAAUUCGUCCAUUUUGUGCCGGAGGGAUCUUACGUUUGACAGCAGAAGGGCAGGGAGCGGUGGCCGGUAAGGGUGUCUCCUGAACCUGGCAGAGGUGCCGGAGCGGCGGCCCUUUUGGGCCGGCUGCCAUGGUGUUGAGUGGCUUGCGCUGUCGAUGUUUAAUUCCAGUAAUUUCUUCUCCAGCAAGGAUGUAGAUGGGCCCAGAUCACUCUGAGAGGUGGAUCUGAGGUUUAGAAGCUCCGAUCGGGUGUACUGGAUUAUGCACGACACUUUACAAACAAAUAACGCAGACACUAAAAUGACAGACAGGAACACUGCUUGUACUGUGGCAAGCCUCACGGCCGCCAUCUUCCUAUGCCUCAACUCCUCUCAAGAGAGAGAGAGAGAGGACAACUUGGUCUCUCAGAGCACAGCUGUAGCUGUGCUGCGGGCAAAGGCUUCUGUAGCCAUGUAACCGCUCUGCUCCUCCAGACAGCGCAUUAUGUGCAGCUGGGCCUUGAGGUGGUUCCACCUUCCCUGGUCUGUACCAGUCAACCACAGAUGUGGCAUCGACCUAGAACACAGGGAAUCCAUCAAGAGGCUGUGAGUGAACUUGUGGUGAAAAAACCCAAGUCGGUUGGGAAGAGUCAAGUCCACACUACAGAGCGUAUGCUGGGCCCCUACCAGAACAACACAUAUUGGCGUCUGGAGCAAAGCUGAGUGAGAUUCACCCUCGCCCUUUGAUGUCCCACAUCCUAGAGGGAAUAUCCAGCUUGGAAUUGGUACCAUCUCAGCUGUGCUGACCUGGAAGUUGUCAGCAAUGACCUGUUCUUUAAGGCCAGUUGCUACUCUACAACAGUAGAUGAAAAACUCAUCAAUGACUGGAAUCUUCCUUGAAGGGCUUGGUGUUGGAAUUGCCUCUUGUCCAAUCCUAUGUGCUUUGCUCCAAUAAACAAUAUAUUGUGUUGAGGGGCAAACAGACUCCCAAAACACUUGAAACACUUCUUGAGAUGGAAACCGAGUGUAAUAUUUCAUGGUCUGAUCAGACACACAAAAUCUGUUGAGGACAGUUUGUGGCCCCAUGGAUAUUUCUUGCAGCUUUGCCUCCAGCUCAGCAAUAUACUCCAGGGCAUCAUCCAGUGCACCUACAAAAAAAGAAUACAAAUCAGUCUUCAUUACCAUUCAUUAGUAUUCACCCUUUAUUUUUAUUGUAUUGUUAUUCUGUAUACUUAAGUUUAUUUAUAUUUAUUAUUAUUUAUUUAUUUGUACUGUUUUUUGUUUUUCUUUUUUUAUAUAUUAACAAUAGGUUAAAUGUUGAGUGUUGUACAUAGAGGGCAAAAACCAAAGUCAAAUUCCUCGUUUCUUCGCAAACCUGGCCAAUAAAGCUGAAUCUGAAUCUGAUUUAAUAUGCAACCCCAGUUUAACAGAACGUCUGAUGUUGAUUGAAUGUUUUACAAUAACCAUGCCAUGUUUGGCAAAAGUAUACAAUAGCCCAACAAGUGUUGAACACAAAUAACAGACAUAACAGCUAGUUAGCACACAUCUACUUACCGGCAGGGGGGCGUGUCGCGUAGUCAUGUUCCCCGGUACCUCUCCGGUCCAUUUGUGUUUUGUCCUCUCCUUCAGCUUUUUGAGCUGACACCCAUUUCUACACAGGUGUUUUCUUCGGGGCUGUGGUGUAGCUGUUCCAGUCAAAACGACUGGGAACAGCUCCAGUAUUCAGCGUAGCACUCCCGUCGUUAUAAUCAGCCGCUGAGAAAUGCCGACUACAGACCAGUGUACUCCCCUUCUGAAUUACGAAAUUAACUCCGUCUGAUUGCCCUGACCCACUGCUGUAUAGGGUAUUAGUUGGGAAGUCUUGGAAAGGUAAAUACGGUUGUUUUUGUUUUGAAUUGGCGCAUAGAGGUACACAACAGAAGCUUUUGUUUUUUGACUGCGCCAUUGUCAAAUAUCAUGGACUACUCGACCGGAAGUCCCUUUACCCAGUGAAUGCAAAAUCGAACGCCGAACCAGGAAGUUGUGAGAUAGGCCUAUUGGAACGCAAACUCCUUAUACCAGCUCCAGAUGACCCUUAAUCUGAUCAUCUUCAGGAUAUUCUACAGGUCUUCUCGGGCCGUAGUGGUAGGCCUCCUGCCUGACCUUCAGGACAGGACCCAAUAGCUGAACAAGGAGGUUUUCAGAACAGUCCAGACCUUCACCGCAUGUGAACGUGUUGUAAGUCCGAUCCGGGGUCAUUUAGAUUUACAACAAUUCAGGACAUUUUCAAACCAGAUUUCUUUGGUUUCAGAGCAUGUUUUUAGCAGCUGUCAAUUCUGAGAAGCCUUUAGUUCUCUGCAUUCUUAGUUCUAAAAUGCCUGGAUAAAUCCUCCAGCAGACUCAUUUGCACGCAAAUACUUCCAUUACUUUAUACAAUGAAUUUAAUCUAGCAUGUAGAGCUGGAUUCCCCCGCUGACUUGAUUAUCUACAUGCCGUGUGCCAGAGCAGUUCUCUGGCCGUCGCAGCACACUGAACAAGUACAAUGUCUGAUCAGGUACCAGAUAUGGCUGGGGGACAAGACGGUUUCAAUUUAAAGCAAUUUAGGGCUUGAUUUGAAAAUGGGCUGGGUUAAAACAGUGUUAUUUUUGGGGCCUUGAGAAACAGCCUUCCUGAGCAGAGUACAGGCCACCAGCUGGGAGGCUCUCUGGGCUGAUUGUUUCCUCUACGUCUCUCUCCUAUUAGCCCCAGUCAUCUGAAUUAUUGAUGUAUCGUUUUCAGGGCUGUUGGUUUUUUCUCUCCUCCCAAGUGACAGAUGGCUUGUGUUGUUAAGUAAUUUCUCUUCUCUCUCUCCUCCCUCAUCCCCCCUUUCUCCUCCCUCUCCCCCCUCUGUCCUUCUUUGACAUUGUGGUAACAAAUGUAUCGCAGGAUAAAAGGAAGUGUUAACUCUUCUUCCUGCGUUGUGUUUACAGGCCAUCUCCAUAGGCUUGACUGUGAACAACAAGUAUUGUCACGCAUCGCAGUGCCAUCCAUUUUGACCCCUCAUAUUGUGACGUUGACCCGGCUCUCCGUGGCUCGUCUGGUAUUUCCACCAGGAGCCUCUUUGGUUGACUACAGCCGUAAUGGUUUUGUCAUUCAGGGUAUCCUGAAUUUCACUCCUUUUGUUUGCCUCGAAGACUUCUUUCUCGUCAAUACUCAGCAGCAUUGUCGAUAUCUGUUUGUCAUUCUUCUGAAUUGACUGGAGCUGGUACUCUAGUGAGCAACCGGUUCCUUCCAGCCUCAGAUGCACAGUCCUUACUGCACAGCAUUCAAAUGUGGAUUUGAAAUGUGAAUGUCAACCAUACAAAUGUAGCUUUGAAGCAGCACUGCUUUCUUUCUUACAGCACUCUGACUCUCAGACUUUGCAGAAGUUGCAUUGUACGACCCUUCGUAUUAUCAACUGCAUUUUCUGAAAGCACCAAUAGUCUCAUCCCAGGGCUAUAGUCACAUCCCAGGGCUAUAGUCUCAUCCCAGGGCUAUAGUCUCAUCCCAGGGCUAUAGUCUCAUCCUAGGGCUAUAGUCUCAUCCUAGGGCUAUAGUAUCAUCACAGGGCAAUAGUCUUAUCCCAGGGCAAUAGUCUCAUCAUCACAGGGCUAUAUUCUCACCAGAAGGCUGUAGUCUCAUCAGAGGGCUAUGCUAUCAUCCUCACAGGGCUAUAGUUUCAUCACAGGGCUUUAGUCUCAUCAUAGGGCUAUACUCUCAUCAUCACAGGACUAUAGUCUCAUCACAGGGCUUUAGUCUCAUCAGAGGGCUAUACUCUCAUUAUCACAGGGCUAUAGUCUCUAUCACAUGGCUAUAGUCUCAUCACAGGGUUAUAGUCUCAUCAGAGGGCUAUACUCUCAUCAUCACAGGGCUAUAGUCUCAUUAGAGGGCUCUAGGCUCAUCAGAGGGCUAUACUCAUCACAGGGCUAUACUCUCAUCAUCCCAGGGCUAUAGUCUCAUCAUCACAGGGCUAUAGUCUCAUCCCAGGGCCCUGUGAUCAAGGUCCCCCCCCUGUAUGAAUGAUCUCUUUGUCCUUGCACUGCGAGUCAUGUAAAGUUAUUUCAUUAGUAACACGCUAUUUUUCCAUUCAUACUUAGUUUAUGUAAAUCAUUAAUCUUUUAAUGCGUUCAGAACCCUUGUCUAUGCAUAACAUAUCAAGUGGGGCAAGGCACAGGGCAGCAGCACUGAAGGUUGCUCUACAGUCUGAAUGUUUGAACACAACAACAUCAAAAAGCAGAUAGGCCUACCUAGGAUCCCGUAUGUAGAAGUCUUUGUAAUACACCGGGCAGAGCAACAUCAACUACGCUGGACUUAAGUCUGACUUAAUGUUUUAUAAUAUAUGUUUUAUUAAAUUCGUUAGCUUUGCCAACGAAUUUAGUCAUCGAUUCGUUGAGUCGCGCGAUUAAUACGCAAAGUCACUCGUAGGCGCGGAACUGGUAACUGACGCCGGCAGGUCCAUGCUUCAUGCGUGCCCACAGCGACCCUACGAGCGCUAUAGUAUGAGCGACGACUGCUUUUA